UAUGUUCGGCACCUUCAGAGGAACUGUGAAAUACGCAUCCCAACUGUGGUGUCUCCAAUGGCCUCAUGGAUGGUGUUGUAAUCCAGGCUCUGUACAAAACAGACAAAAAGGUUUGCGCACUGCAAAGAAGACCCGGACUUUCCAAAGUUUUUGAACUAUCAUUGCAACAUUCACCAAAAGG